UACAGAGGUCUCAAGCGUUGUUCGGAUUCAUUGGGCGUAAAGGGUGUGUAGGUGGCGCGCUAAGUCGGGUGUGAAAUCCCUCAGCUUAACUGGGGAACUGCGUCUGAUACUGGAUGGCUUGGAUUUGGGAGAGGAAUGCGGAAUUCCAGGUGUAGCGGUGAAAUGCGUAGAUAUCUGGAGGAACACCGGUGGCGAAGGCGGCAUUCUGGACCAAUAUUGACGCUGAGGAGCGAAAGCCAGGGGAGCAAACAGG
rnacentral:rRNA from 1 species